rnacentral:lncRNA from 1 species
AUGGACAAGCUGAUAUGUGAUGCUGAGCCCUUUGAACCAGAUUGUGACAGUAUGAACAACAGGUGGGACUUCCACUCACUCCAAAAGAAUCCUUGCCAUAGCAAGUCAUCAAGGAUAUACAGUUUGGAUUUACAUUGGGAUGAAAGAGUAACAAAUGGUAUCUUGUAUCUCAAUCAAGGAAAGACAGGUCCUCUGCAUAAAUCUCGUAUUCAAUAUGUUGUCUUCAUUUGGGCCAAACUGGAAUAA